rnacentral:rRNA from 1 species
CAAAGAUUAAGCCAUGCAUGUCUAAGUAUAAACAAAUUUAUACAGUGAAACUGCGAAUGGCUCAUUAAAUCAGUUAUAAUUUAUUUGAUAUUCACUUACUACUUGGAUAACCGUGGUAAUUCUAGAGCUAAUACAUGCGUACAUAACCUCGACUUCUGGAAGAGGUGCACUUAUUAGAUAAAAAGCCAACGCGGGCAACCGCUUGUAUGGUGAUUCAUAAUAAUUAAUCGAAUCGCAUGGCCUUGUGCCGGCGAUGAUGCAUUCAAAUUUCUGCCCUAUCAAGUUUCGAUGGUAGGUUAGUGGCCUACCAUGCUUUUAACGGGUAACGGGGAAUUAGGGUUCGAUUCCGGAGAGGGAGCCUGAGAAACGGCUACCACAUCCAAGGAAGGCAGCAGGCGCGCAAAUUACCCAAUCCCGACACGGGGAGGUAGUGACAAUAAAUAACAAUACAGGGCCUUUACGGGUCUUGUAAUUGGAAUGAGUACAAUUUAAAUCCCUUAACGAGGAACAAUUGGAGGGCAAGUCUGGUGCCAGCAGCCGCGGUAAUUCCAGCUCCAAUAGCGUAUAUUAAAGUUGUUGCAGUUAAAAAGCUCGUAGUUGAAUUUUGGCCUUCGCCUGUGGGGUUCGGUCUUCAUUGAUCGGUACCUCAACGGGCGGGGCUCCACCUUCUGGGUUAGCCAGUCGUCAUUUCGGUGGCGGCUGGUGAACCAGAACUUUUACUUUGAAAAAAUUGGAGUGUUUAAAGCAGGCUUUCAAGCUUGAACAUAUUAGCAUGGAAUAAUGAAAUAGGACUUUGGCCUUAUUUCGUUGGUUUCUAAAGCCAAAGUAAUGAUGAAUAGGGAUAGUUGGGGACAUUAGUAUUCAAUUGUCAGAGGUGAAAUUCUUGGAUUUAUUGAAGACUAACUUCUGCGAAAGCAUUUGUCAAGGAUGUUUUCAUUAAUCAAGAACGAAAGUUAGGGGAUCGAAGACGAUCAGAUACCGUCGUAGUCUUAACCAUAAACUAUGCCGACUAAGGAUCGGAUGGUGUUAUAUUUUAUAUUGACCCAUUCGGCAUUUCAGCGAAAGCCAAGUUUUUGGGUUCCGGGGGGAGUAUGGUCGCAAGGCUGAAACUUAAAGG